AUUGAACGCUGGCGGCAGGCCUAACACAUGCAAGUCGAGCUCGCGUCUUACUCUUUAGUUCUUUCUUGGAAACUCCCUGAUGUCGGGGGAUAACUACUUUAAACGGUUGCUAAUACCCCCUCCCAUCAGAUGUGCCCAGAUGGGAUUUGCUAGUAGGUGGGGUAACGGCUCACCUAGGCGACGAUCCCUACCUGGUCUGAGAGGAUGACCAGCCACACUGGAACUGAGAAACGGUCCAGACUCCUACGGGAGGCAGCAGUGGGGAAUAUUGCAAAAUGGGCGAAAGCCUGAUGCAGCAAUGCGGCGUGUGUGAAGAAGGCCUUCGGGUUGUAAAGCACUGUCAGCGGGGAGGCGGUAAACGAAGAAGAAGAACAGGCUAACUCCGUGCCAGCAGCCGCGGUAAUAG
rnacentral:rRNA from 1 species